UUGUGCCUACGGGAGGCAGCAGUGAGGAAUAUUGGUCAAUGGCCGGAAGGCUGAACCAGCCACGCCGCGUGAGGGAGGAAGGCGCAGAGCGUCGCAGACCUCUUUUGCCGGGGGACAAAAGGCCGGACUCGUCCGGUCCUGAGGGUACCCGGAGAAAAAGCAUCGGCUAACUCCGUGCCAGCAGCCGCGGUAAUACGGAGGAUGCGAGCGUUAUCCGGAUUUAUUGGGUUUAAAGGGUGCGCAGGCGGUCUGUUAAGUCAGCGGUCAAAGCCCGGGGCUCAACCCCGGCCCGCCGUUGAAACUGG
rnacentral:rRNA from 1 species